rnacentral:lncRNA from 1 species
CGGAAAUCUCUUUCGAUAUGUUUGCUGGUUUGUUUAUAUUUUUAUGUAUGUUGGUACUUUACCUGCGUGUUUAUGUGUAUGAUGCUGUUGGAACAGGAGUUACAAGCAGAUGUGUGAGCUUCCACGUAGGUGUUGUGAAUGGAACUCCGAUCCUCUAAAAGAGCAUCCAGUGCUCUUAAACGCAGAGCCAUCUCUCCAGCCUGGAACUCCUCUGAGGUUCCCCUGCACCAUCCCUUCGGAGUCCAGUCUCCUGUUUGGGUCGCUUACUGUUCUCACUCCCAUACAUCCAGCUUUCCAAGCAUGGCUGUCCAUUUCUCCAGGGUCAGCCAGCCCACCUCUGGAGUCUCCAGUGCCUUGGGAAAAUGAACGAAGGUGGUGAGUUUAGCAUCUGUAGCUGGUAGAAAAACAAAGUCAUAGGUAAGUGUUCUCUCUCUCUCUCUCUCUCUCUCUCUCUCUCUCUCUCUCUCUCUUCCCUCCUUCCCUCUCUCAUUUUUUGAGACAGAGUCUCACUAUGUGGCCUAGGCUGGCCUCAAACUCAUGACUCUACUGCUCAGCCUCUUGAAUACUAGGUUUGUAGGAGUGCACCAACACAACACUGGUCUUCCGAGUGUGUGUGCAUGUGUCUGUGUGUCCAUGUGCAUGUGUAUGUCCGUGUGCGCAUGCACACAUGGUAGUCACAGGUCACCCCAGGUACCUUCUUCAGGAGCCAAGCACCUUGGUUUUUUUAGUACAGGGUCUCCCACUUAGCCAGGAACUUGACAAUUCGGCUAGGCUGUCUGGCCAGGGAGAAUCAUUGUGUCUGUGCCUCCCCAGCGCUGGGGUUACAAGCCCAGGCCACCGACGCUAGGCUUUGUACAUAGGUGCUGGGGAUUAAACUCCGGUCCUCUUGAGAGGCAAAUAUUCCACUGACUGAGCUAGCUCCCUGCCCAGACUACAUCCCACACCCUGCUUUUUUUUAAAAUAAGAGUUCUCAUAAAGGCAUCUCCAGCAGGACAGUCAGACUCAGCCCGUCCCCGACAGAUGCCAGAUGUCACAGAAACAACCAGGGCUGUGCAUGAUGAAGUAUGAAACCAACUGGUCUCUGACAUGAGAGAUUCUGACGUCUGCUGUGGUGGAUUUUCUUCCUCAGCGUUACCGGCUCUUCUCUGUCUUUGUGGGGGCACCUCCCACCCCAUGUCCCCUACCAGCCUGUUUCCCAUCACUUGUCUUUUUCUGCCUCUCCCUACUGCUUAUUUGCAGCAGUCAGUGUCUGAUGGCCUCUUGGCAUACAGCUUUCAGCUUUGCUUUCGCUAUUGAGCGGCCCUGGAACUUUCCGGCUACAUUCCCAGGGGGCUUCCUAAUCAACCCUGCUGAAGGGGGGGGGGCGUUCUCAGCGGUUC